rnacentral:rRNA from 1 species
GAUGAACGCUGGCGGCGUGCCUAAUACAUGCAAGUCGAGCGAACAGAUGAGGAGCUUGCUCCUCUGACGUUAGCGGCGGACGGGUGAGUAACACGUGGAUAACCUACCUAUAAGACUGGGAUAACUUCGGGAAACCGGAGCUAAUACCGGAUAAUAUAUUGAACCGCAUGGUUCAAUAGUGAAAGACGGUUUUGCUGUCACUUAUAGAUGGAUCCGCGCCGCAUUAGCUAGUUGGUAAGGUAACGGCUUACCAAGGCAACGAGGCGUAGCCGACCUGAUAGGGUGAUCGGCCACACGGGAACUGAGACAAGGUACAGACGCCUACGGGAGGAAGCAGUAGGGAAUCUUCCGAAAUGGGCGAAAGCCUGACGGAGCAACGCCGCGUGAGUGAUGAAGGUCUUCGGAUCGUAAAACUCUGUUAUUAGGGAAGAACAAAUGUGUAAGUAACUAUGCACGUCUUGACGGUACCUAAUCAGAAAGCCACGGCUAACUACGUG